rnacentral:lncRNA from 1 species
UGAACAUGGGACUGAGGACAUACCUGCAAUGAUAGAGAUGAUUCAUCAAAUAAAGACUUCAGAGUUGAAGGGUAGCAAACCUGAUCUUAAGGAAGAAACUGAUGAUGAUCAGCCUUACAAACUUUGUGCAGUGUGCCACAGCUUGGGAGGAGCGGCUAUUUUAAUGUAUGUCAUAACACGUCGGAUUGAGGAGAAGCCCCACAGACUUUCAAGAUUGAUCUUGUUAUCACCUGCUGGCUUCCAUGAAGAUUCCAACCUAGUGUUUACAGUGGCAGAGUAUAUUUUCCUUUUAUUUGCCCCUAUCCUGGCACCCCUUGUGCCUGGCUUCUAUAUACCUACAAGAUUCUUUCGUAUGCUGUUGAACAAAUUGGCUCGAGACUUCCAUAACUACCCUGCAGUUGGAGGACUGGUUCAAACCCUGAUGAGUUAUGGCGUUGGUGGAGACAGCUCAAACUGGGUAGGAGUGUUAGGUAUACCACAUUACAACAUGAAUGACAUGCCAGGAGUUUCAUUCCACGUGGCUCUCCACCUCGCACAGAUGAAGCAUGCCAGAAAAUUUAUAAUGUAUGAUUAUGGCAGUUCAUCUGCCAACAUGAAAAUGUAUGGAUCAUCUCAGCCAUUUGA